rnacentral:rRNA from 1 species
UCGGACGGGUUGGUAACGCGUGAGAAUCUGCCUCGAGGAGGGGGAUAACAGCGGGAAACUGCUGCUAAUACCCCAUAUGCCGAAAGGUGAAAAGAAAUUUGCCUUGAGAGGGGCUCGCGUCCGAUUAGCUAGUUGGUGAGGUAAGAGCUUACCAAGGCGACGAUCGGUAGCUGGUCUGAGAGGAUGAGCAGCCACACUGGGACUGAGACACGGCCCAGACUCCUACGGGAGGCAGCAGUGGGGAAUUUUCCGCAAUGGGCGAAAGCCUGACGGAGCAACGCCGCGUGGGGGAAGAAGGCCUUUGGGUUGUAAACUCCUUUUCUCAGGGAAGAAGCACUGACGGUACCUGAGGAAUCAGCCUCGGCUAACUCCGUGCCAGCAGCCGCGGUAAUACGGAGGAGGCAAGCGUUAUCCGGAAUUAUUGGGCGUAAAGCGUUCGUAGGCGGCAUUUCAAGUCUGCUGUCAAAGGCCGAGGCUCAACUUCGGAAAGGCAGUGGAAACUGAAAAGCUAGAGGUCGGUAGGGGCAGAGGGAAUUCCCAGUGUAGCGGUGAAAUGCGUAGAUAUUGGGAAGAACACCGGUGGCGAAAGCGCUCUGCUGGCC